AUUUAUAUAGUUUAAUUAAAACAUUACACUUUCACUGUAAAAAUAAAAUUUUUAAUUUUUAUAAAUA
rnacentral:tRNA from 1 species